rnacentral:lncRNA from 1 species
AGUUGGUUAGAUGUAGGCGCAAGGGUUGCAUUAAACCAGCGAGAGCCUCGGGCUCCAAGUCUCAUCAGAUACCUACCGAAGCAGUCACCUAAAAUUAGCCACACCUCCUAACCCAAGUGAGGGUUUUAUGUUUGUUUAUGUUAAGUAGCUCUAAAUUUCAGCAAUCCUACCUUUCUGGGCACAGUUUUGUGGAGCUGGUAGAGUAGAAAGAGUGGUUGUUGGGGUAAUUUUUAUUAAUGGCCUAAGUUGGACCUUUCAUAACUAUGAUAUUCAUCUGUUUUUUUCUAUUUAAAUGUGUUUGGAGUCCCCAGGAGUUCCCUGGUGGCCUUGUGGGUUAAGGACCUGCUGUUGUCACUGCUGUGGCUCUGGUUACUUGUGUGGCGUGGGUUCAGUCCCUGGCGUGGGAACAUCCACAUGCUGCAGCUCCCUCGCCAAAAAAAAAAGGAGCAUCCAGCAGGCAGUAUUAGGACUCGGACUUCCAAAAUGGAUUAGGUCCACAGAUUCCUAGACCUUUUACCUUUAGACGUCUGCUUUCCUCUGUAUUCCUGGGCCUAAUGCUGAGGUAGAUGGAAGAUAAGAGUUUGUUUAGGAAGCUUGAUUCCUAUGAAAGAGGACUGGUGGGUUUUUUGGGUUUUCAAGGAGCCAACCUGAUUCAGCACCAAGCUUUUAUUUUGGAGCAAUCUGGAGGGAUAUAGGAUCACCCAUGGUGACCCUUGCCUGCGUCAUUCCAGGCAGGCCUUGGCAGGCUCCAGCAGAUGAGUAAGGACGAGGGCAAUUGGCAGGAGGACCCGCUGAGUUCAUCUUGCUUCAUAUCUCAGGAACUGGCCUGACCUCGUUCCAUCAUCAGUGUUUGGGCAUUCUGAGAAACACCGGACCAUCUCUCAAGGGUUCUGGAGAUUGUGUUGGAAGCAGCAUGCUCUCCUACUGGGAAGGAACACCUGCUUUAUUGCUGAGAGCACACAGGAGGGAACCCUUUGCUCUCAGUGUUGGGAGGCCUCUGAAGACCUUGGCAGUGAGGGCCAUGGUAUGUCGUGGAAAGAACAUAGACCUCAGAGCCAUUGCGUAGUCGUGUGACCUUCAGCGACUUAAUCUCUGAUCCUCAACUUCCUGAUC